rnacentral:rRNA from 1 species
UACAGAGGUCCCAAGCGUUGUUCGGAUUCAUUGGGCGUAAAGGGUGCGUAGGCGGCGCGGUAAGUCGGGUGUGAAAUCUCGGAGCUUAACUCCGAAACUGCAUUCGAUACUGCCGUGCUUGAGGACUGGAGAGGAGACUGGAAUUUACGGUGUAAGCGGUGAAAUGCGUAGAUAUCGUAAGGAAGACCAGUGGACGAAGGCGGGUCACUGGCCCGGUACUGACGCUGAGGUGCGAAAGCGUGGGGAGCGAACAGG